UAAAUUUAAUAUAUUGACAUCUUAUAGUUGAUAGUUUUAAAUUUAAGCUAUUUUCUUUUAAUAAAAGAAAAUGAAGCUAACAUGAAGCUGAAGGGAUUGGUAAAUUUUAAAUGUUUCUUCACCACAUGAGAGCUAUUGUCUCCUAAAUAAUUCUGCAAAGAUUCAGAAAGGAGAUGAUGAAAGACAAGAAGAGAGUGAAGUAACGGUGUUUUAUUCGUACAUCUCUCCGCUUUGGAGAGCAGCAAAUAUGUAUCAAACAUGGUUCUCAGCUCCGGGGAUGUAGCAGGGAAGAAAACAGAUGAACAUUCCUGCCUUCUUGGAAUUUACAUUCCAUGGAGAGAAGCAGACAAUAAAGAAGG
rnacentral:lncRNA from 1 species